CUCUCACUUCUUCCUGUGCCCCUGAGUGGGAGGAGCUGCUGGUCAGAUACAAACUGUUUUACCCCUUCCUGGUAUAUAUAUAAUGAGCAGCAAGGGGACUGAGACUCAGACUCAGCCUCGCAGGCAGCUGGACCUAGCUGUGACAGGAUCCCCAGCACCAGGACUUGGGUGGAUUGAGUGGAUCUUGGGGAGCCAUGUCUCCAAGGGGACCCCAUGCCACCCUGAUGCUGCUGUUCUACCUACUGACCCUGUCGUUGUCCUGGCUGGCUGUAGACGACUGGGAAAGGCCCUACAACAAGUUCCGGAGACAGCAUUUGGACAGUCAGUCAGAGCCUCCAUUCACUAGCUGCUACUGCAAUGAAAUGAUGAAGACAAGGAAUAUGACCACUAAUGAGUGUAAGAACACCAACACCUUUAUCCAUUCUCAUAUAUUGACAAUAAAUGCCAUCUGCAGCAACAGAUACAGAAAACAUGACCAUUAUGUUAGCCCCAAUUUAUUUAAUGUCACUGUGUGCAAAAUAAACCGUCAUGCACAAAAUGGCUGUCACUACACUGCAUGGAACAGGGUAAAGAAGAUUUGCAUUGACUGUUGGAAUGGUAAGCCAGUGCAUUAUGUCUCACUGUGAAAUUGCUAGCUCUGAGCGCCACUGCCCCAUCUCAGUCCAAAUGCCACUGCAUUGGUGCCUUCCUAUUGCCCAUUAUGCAGUGCAGGGGCUGACUUGAAUUUUCUUGCUGCUUUCUGCAAUUUCUUUGCUUUUGACAAGAUAUCAGGAGAAUUCACAGAUUCAUUGGAAUUGUUGCUUUUCCUGUGGCCUCAAACGUGCAAACUCUAGACUGUAAAUCAUGCACCAUAGUGCCUGCACCACCCUAGCCCCCCCAUAUCAAAUAAACAGCUGCAACUGCAAACUG